rnacentral:misc_RNA from 1 species
CGACUUGGUGUUGGGCUACAUGAUAGUUGUAUCAUCGGCCUCAAAGAUAGUGACGGCGUCCUAGACGGAACCGGUACGAGGAGCUUUUAAGCAAGCAUGUACGCGGCGUGAAUCUACGGGCGACGGUCUUUAACCACUACUCUUCGGAGUACUUUCUAAGUGUUGACCUCGGAUCAGGUAGGGAUACCCGCUGAACUUAA